GUCCAGGACUGCCCCCUCCUGGCCCACUCAGAGCCCCUGGGUGUGAGAAGCUCGUCUCCCGUGGGUUGCAUUGGCUCUGCCCUAUCUCUGCCUCCAGCACCCAGGGCGGCCGCAGAUGGCAGUGUCUCUGGGGACAGCAGCUGCGAAUGAGUCCACGGGCCAAUGCUGAGCUGCUCAGGCUGAGGCGGUGUGCUCAGCACAGAGCCCCCGGAACUGGCAUCUGCAGGGCGUGAGCUUCCCUCACAGGCCCACCUGGGAGUAGAGAGACAAGAGGAGCUGGAGUUUGGAGACGGAGGUCAGAAGAGUGAGGGCUUCUCUCCGACCUACCUGGAGUUCUUUCCAUCCAUCCCCCUGCUUUCCUCCCCAGAAGCAAGCCAAGGCCGCCGCGAUGCCGCACUUCCUGGACUGGUUCGUGCCGGUCUACUUGGUCAUCUCGGUCCUCAUUCUGGUGGGCUUCGGCGCCUGCAUCUACUACUUCGAGCCGGGCCUGCAGGAGGCGCACAAGUGGCGCAUGCAGCGCCCCCUGGUGGACCGCGACCUCCGCAAGACGCUAAUGGUGCGCGACAACCUGGCCUUCGGCGGCCCGGAGGUCUGAGCCGACUUGCAAAGGGGAUAGGCGGGCGGCACCGGGCGCCCUCCCCCAGCCCGCCCCGCCCGCCCAGCCCGGAGACCCCCAAGGCAGAGGGAGGCCGGCCUGUUGGCCCUCCACGCUAUCCCUCUGCAGCCUGGGCCCUCCCGACAGAGGCCCCAGGUGCGCUGGCAGUGGAGGUGGGGCACUUAGGUGCCUGGCUGGCCCAGGGCUUGCUCUCCGUGUCAAGCCGACUCACCCAGAGCCCACCCUCCCAAGCUCAGGGGCAUCCUCCGCUGGGCCCCAGUGCCUUUGCGCUGCGCAGCACUCUGCCCUCCACUGGACUCAGGCAUGUCUAUGGCUGCCUGUCCUGAGGCUCCGGAGCCCUCAUUUCUUCGUGAAGUCCCCAGCUCCCCUGCCUCCACUCAAUGGCACCGGCCCUGCAACUUUAGGCAGGUCGAAGCCAACCCAAGGAAAGAACCUAAGAACCUCGUUUGGAGGGAUGUCAGCUUGGGCCAGACCAGCCGCACCCCGCGGGGCUCAGGCUUGGAACUGGUGAGGGUGUGUGGUGGGGGUAUGCAGAGGGAUAAGACCGUGGUAGAGGAGAGGGUUGGUGAGGAGAGAGAGAGAGAGAGAGAGAGAGUCUGGGGGGAGCGGGCAAGCAUGGGGAGAUGAGAUGUGUAUAUGUGAGAGAGAGUGUGGGGGCCCCAGGCAGGGCAGGAGGUGGUGGAAACGGGGUGAACUCCGUGGGCUGUGUGAGGACUGUCCAUAGUGGGUCCCAACCCCCUCCCUCUGCUGGAGUUUCCUAGCCCUUCCCCCUCCCCAAGACUGUGGCAGCAGGCAGGAGCCCCUGCCCUCCCUCCCUGUCCUGUGCCACACUUCUGGGGCCAAACCCAGCCCCCUUGAGCCAGGCCCUGCCAGACUCCAAGCCCACCCUAGAACCCUCCUCCUGUGUGGAGACUCUGUUGCCCCACUUUGGACACAGAUUGGCAACCUGCCUCACCCCGCCCCCCUUCGCUGGGGCUUCCAUCUUAAUUUAUUCUCAAUAAUAAAGACUUCAUGAUG
rnacentral:lncRNA from 1 species